AUUGAACGCUGGCGGCAGGCUUAACACAUGCAAGUCGAGCGGUAACAGAGAGAAGCUUGCUUCUCUGCUGACGAGCGGCGGACGGGUGAGUAAUGCCUAGGAAUCUGCCUAGUAGUGGGGGAUAACUUGCCGAAAGGUACGCUAAUACCGCAUACGUCCUACGGGAGACAGGAGGGGACCUUCGGGCCUUUCGCUAUUAGAUGAGCCUAGGUCGGAUUAGUUAGUUGGUGAGGUAAUGGCUCACCAAGACCGCGAUCCGUAACUGGUCUGAGAGGAUGAUCAGUCACACUGGAACUGAGACACGGUCCAGACUCCUACGGGAGGCAGCAGUGGGGAAUAUUGGACAAUGGGGGGAACCCUGAUCCAGCCAUGCCGCGUGUGUGAAGAAGGUCUUAGGAUUGUAAAGCACUUUAAGUUGGGAGGAAGAGCAGUUAACUAAUAUUUGACUGUUUUGACGUUACCGACAGAAUAAGCACCGGCUAACUUCGUGCCAGCAGCCGCCGUAA
rnacentral:rRNA from 1 species